GCUUUUCAAGUCAAAAAGGUGACUGACGAUCACCAUUUCCUUGUGUAGUUCGCAGCCGGAUCCUUUCACUCAAUUAGCAUUACCGUGUGAAGUCUCUGGGACAGGAAGCGGAAGUGGUAGCCAGAGGCCUGCUGCUGAAGUCUUAUGGUGGCUGGAUAAAUACACAGGAAAUACAUUCAGGACGUUGAGAGUUCUGCCUUAGCCAUUAGAUCGACUCGGGCAAGCUGGGCUGAUCCAGCUCUCCGAUUUGGCACAAACGAAGGCCAGGCAAGAAAUUGGAUUCGGCUCUUCCUUCUGUCUUUGCCUCACCUCCCCCUUUCCACACCUUGAAGAGGAAUGAAUAACUCAGGGGUAAUUUUGGAGGAAAUCACUGUUAGCAACUGAUUCAAAAGACCUGGAUGAAUGAGAAACUUUGAUUCAUUGUAACAGGACUGCAGUGAUGCCAUUAGGUAAUUUUAGACGCUGAACUUAAUGGCGCCCCUUCAGAUGAUAAUGUGCAUGACUUCGGUUACUUCAAAAUGUGCUAAGCAGGCCCUGCUGCAUUGGGCGGCCCUUCUGCUCAUUCUGCUGAGUGAGGCCCUGGACUUUUGCCCCAAAGUCCUGCACAGACGACACCACUGCGAGGCUGGAGUUCUGAAGCACCCACAUCACAAGGAGAUUCAAUCAGACCACGCGCUUGUCUGUGCGAGUAGGAUGGGCGACGGCCCCCUAUUGACCCAUGUGAAAUGAAUCAAGAGCUGCCUGCUCCAUUUACCUUUACAACGUUACAGUUCUUAAAGCAAAAAUGGUGGAGUUUUGGGUUCCCCCCCCUAAAAAUAGGGUUCACAUCUCUUUCCCCCCCUGAUUUUUUUUUAAAGAAAGCAGCUUAACAUUUGCUCUUGUACCUGAAGCAGGUGAUGUUUAUGUAGAGACAUCUGAAAUGACAGCAGGAGAGGAGGGCAAAUCUAAUCAAGCCUAAUAAACCGUGCGAGUCGGAAUGUCAUUAAACCUGAUCAAGAUGAGCCUCUGAAUCGCCGAAAAAAGGUAAAUGCCUUCAUUAGGGUGAUCUCUGAAGACUGUCGAACAUUUCAUUAAUUUGUAAUUUAUGAUUGUUUGACAAAUAUUGAAAAGUAUGUAAAUAUGAGUGGGGUAAUGUCUUUUCUGCGGGAGAGGAGGAAAUGACCCAAACGGUAGAUGCCUGCAAGAUUACACACGAGGUCCCAUCUAUCUGCUCUCAAACUGUGCCUUCGCUUUUCCCCGCGACAUAUUGUGCGACUGACAAGUGAAAUAGUGCAGAUAAACCAAUGGUUUAAAACGUAAU